rnacentral:rRNA from 1 species
AAACUGAAGAGUUUGAUCCUGGCUCAGAUUGAACGCUGGCGGUAUGCUUAACACAUGCAAGUCGAACGGUAACAGGAGAGAGCUUGCUCUCUCGCUGACGAGUGGCGGACGGGUGAGUAACGCGUAGGAAUCUGCCUGGUAGUGGGGGACAACCCGGGGAAACUCGGGCUAAUACCGCAUACGCCCUACGGGGGAAAGCGGGGGAUCUUCGGACCUCGCGCUAUCAGAUGAGCCUGCGUUGGAUUAGCUUGUUGGUGAGGUAACGGCUCACCAAGGCGACGAUCCAUAGCUGGUCUGAGAGGACGAUCAGCCACACUGGGACUGAGACACGGCCCAGACUCCUACGGGAGGCAGCAGUG